UUUUAAUUAUAGAAAAGUCAUUAUUUUUUAUUUGAAAAACAAUUGAAAAAUAUGAAUUUUAUUAUAAAAAUAUGUAGAAAAUAACUCUAAAACUAGUUUUUCAAUUACCAUUUGAAAAAUAUGAAUAUUUAAAUAAAAAAUUCUGUUUUCAGUUUUUUUAAAAAAAUAAUUUCAGAAUAUUACUCUACCUGUUGCCAAAAAUAGUAAAAGUGUUUGCUCUUACCGUUUUGCCCAUCAAAUAGGCCUUUUUCAUCAACCAUUGUAAAGUGAAAAAUAGAUAUACAAAAUUGAAGAUAAUUGAAUGAUAAUGGAUGGUUGCCACAUUGCACUGAAAAAUUAAUUUAAAA
rnacentral:misc_RNA from 1 species